rnacentral:rRNA from 1 species
GACAGAGGGGGCAAGCGUUGCUCGGAAUUACUGGGCGUAAAGGGCGCGUAGGCGGGAUGGCAAGUCGGUCGUGAAAUCCCUCGGCUCAACUGAGGAUCGUCGAUCGAUACUGCCGUUCUUGAGGAUUGCAGAGGAGACUGGAAUUCCCGGUGUAGCGGUGAAAUGGUGUAGAGAGUCGGGAGGAACGACCGGUGGCGAAGGCGGGUCUCUGGGCAAUUCCGUGACGCUGAGGCGCGAAAGCCAGGGAGCGAACGGG